AGAGUGAACGCUGGCGGUAGGCCUAACACAUGCAAGUCGAACGGCAGCACAGUGGUAGCAAUACCAUGGGUGGCGAGUGGCGGACGGGUGAGGAAUACAUCGGAAUCUACCUUUUGGUGGGGGAUAACGUAGGGAAACUUACGCUAAUACCGCAUACGCCCUUCGGGGGAAAGCCGGGGACCAGCAAUGGCCUGGUGCUGAUAGAUGAGCCGAUGUCGGAUUAGCUAGUUGGUGAGGUAAUGGCUCACCAAGGCGACGAUCCGUAGCUGGUCUGAGGGGAUGAUCAGCCACACUGGAACUGAGACACGGUCCAGACCUCCGUACGGGAGCAG
rnacentral:rRNA from 1 species